AUGAUGCCUGUGUACGGCGGCGGUGGCGGGGGGCAGGCGCGGCAGCGGACGUGCCGCAUGUACUGGUGCUACGAGUGCGCGCGGGCGCUCCGCAUCAUCUCCUACCCGGCCACCGACGUCUUCUGCCCGCGCUGCUACGGCCGCUUCCUCCACGAGAUCGACCCGCCGCCGCGCCCAGCGCUCCCCCCGCCGGGCUACUUCCCGCACCACUUCGCGCCGCACCCGUACCCGCACCCGCACUACCACGACGGGAACCCGCGCCGGUGGGUCGUGUACGGCGCCGCGCCCACGGUGCCCGGGCGCCCGUUCCGGCAGCUGCCUCCGCCGGUGCGGGAGCCGACGCGGGUCCAUGCGCCGGCCCCGACGCCCCCGCCUCGCCGGCGCAUGCCCUCCCCGCCGCCGGCGCCGGUGGCGCGGCGGCCGGCCACGCCCCCGGCCAUCGACCCGGGGGACUACUUCACGGGGGGCGACCUCAACCGCCUGGUGGAGGAGCUGACCCAGAACGACCGGCCGGGCCCGGCGCCGGCCCCCACGUCGGCCAUCGACUCGCUCCCGACGGUGCGGAUCGCCGCGCAGCACCUGUCGGACGACGGCGGGUCGCAGUGCCCCGUGUGCAAGGAGGAGUUCGAGCUCGGGGAGGCGGCGCGGCAGCUGCCGUGCAAGCACGUGUACCACUCGGACUGCAUCGUGCCCUGGCUCCGCCUCCACAACUCGUGCCCCGUCUGCCGCUUCAAGCUGCCCGGCACCGGCGCCGCCUCCAGCACACGUCGCCCCAGCGGCAGCAACGGUGCAAGAAACAGAGACAGGGAGAGGGAGCCGGCGACGACGGUGAGGUGGGGGCCGUUGUCGUGGAUGGUGCCGGCGCGCGGGACGGAGGACGCGGACGACGGGUGGGAGUACGGCCGGCGCGGACACGGCAGGCCCGAGGAUGGCGACGCCGGCGCUUUCUACGCGUGGUGGCGCUCUCUGUUUCUCCUCUAG
rnacentral:rRNA from 1 species